UCUGGAAAGAGAACUGUGAUGGAAAUGAA
rnacentral:piRNA from 2 species